UACGGGGGGAGCAAGCGUUGUUCGGAUUUACUGGGCGUAAAGGGCGCGUAGGCGGCCAGUGCAAGUCAGUUGUGAAAUCUCCGAGCUUAACUCGGAAAGGUCAACUGAUACUGCUCGGCUAGAGUGCGGAAGGGGCAACUGGAAUUCUUGGUGUAGCGGUGAAAUGCGUAGAUAUCGGGAAGAACACCCGUGGCGAAGGCGGUUCUCUGGGACGGUACUGACGCUGAGACGCGAAAGCGUGGGGAGCGAACAGG
rnacentral:rRNA from 1 species